rnacentral:lncRNA from 1 species
CUGGCACGUUCUGGAUCCGCCCCUCACGGUGGUCUUGGGGGGGCUCCUGCCUCCUCACCAUGUCACCGGCGCUCGGCGUUAGCCAAACCCUCUGACUUCUACAACUCUGAGAGGUGUAUAGGGAAUUGCCACGUUUUAAUUUGCGUUUCUCUGAUCACCGGUGGAUCUGAGCAGCCAUACCCUAGCGUGAGGAAAACCGGUGACUUUUAACUAGAAGCCGACUUUCGACAGCAGGAGCGUGCCAUGUGCACGCGAAGAGCAGGUCCAGCUGAACAUGGUCUUCCCAGGUGAUGACAAGCAAAAGGGUGCAGUCACUCGGGAAGCCGGCCGGCCACUGUCCACUGUCACAGCAGCCAGGCAAGUGUGGUACUCAGAGCCCCGCAUGCAAACCUCGGGAUACGACGCAGGAUUUUUAAAGGCUGGAUCUGAAAGCCACUAGAUCAUGGGAUUCUAAAAACGUCUGUUCUAAAUUGUCAGCACAAUGCUCAAGGCCAACUGCUCCGUGCCAGGAAAGGGAUCCCCGGAGCACAUGGGCAGGUGCCAGAAGGGCUGAUGAAAUGCUGCAGUUUCGGGCAGUGCUUCCAGGAAACCAGUCCCAUGAGAUUGCUCCCUGUAGCGAGAUGGGCGAUGCCUGCACAAGGCCUGGGGACACUGUCCACAUCCACUGAGGAUGUGACUGGGUCCCUGGAGUGGGAAACAGCAGACCUGCCCAUCGCUGAGACCGUGUCAAACUAAGGCCCAGAGCUCUGGCCUCGUCCUUUUAGGGACAGAGAGUUGUGACUUGGUCUGGGAAGAGAAGCAGGUGGCAAGGUGGGGAGUGACAUCCCUCCCUAGAGAGGGGAAGCCCCACCCCUCCAGCCUCUGGUCCAACAGGCAGCAGUACCAGUCCUCUGAGCCGGCUGCCUCUUCUCACAUCUCUCUCCAGAGUGCGCUUGCCAGCGAAUAAAGGUUUAGAGUAAUCAGGCCCCAAAUAUGGCUUGUGAUUGAUUUACACUAAAAAAUUAUUGUCUGAAAUUCACAUUUGACUGUGCAUCCUGUGUUUUAAAAAAUUUUAUCGAUGUCAUCCUUUUUAAAAAGCAGUUGUAGGUUCACAGCAAACAGGAGCAGAACGUACAGAGAAUUCUCACAUCCCACAUACCCUCUAUCGUCCCCUCCCCAACCAGCCUCUCCCACAGCCCACACCCCUCGCCAGAGGGCUGUGUUUGUUAUAAGCCAUGAACCUACAGUGACACGUCAUCACCCGGAGUCCACAGCUGACCUCGGGGUUCACUCUUGGCGGUAUGGGCGGAUGUAUAAUGACCUGUAUCCAUCUGGAGGAGGGUCGGCCCUAAAUCCAAUGACGAGUGUCCUUAUGAGAGGAGAAGGCCCUGUGAAGAUGGAGGCAGGCUUUGGAAGGAUGUGUCUACAAGCCAAGGGAUGCCACGGCUAGCUGGCUGUCACCAGACCCUGGGAGAGAACGCUGGAACGAUUCUCCCUCAGCCUCCAGAAGGACCCCACCCUGCUGACACCUGGAUUUCAGACUCCUGGUCUCCAGAACUGAGAGAGGAUCAAUUUCUGUCGUCUGAAGCCACUCAGUUUGUGGGCAUGCGUUACGGUCACCCUAGGACACCGAAACAGGACGUGAUGAGGAAAGGGAGAUAAACACGUCAGUCAAGGUACAGCCUCCGUACAAGAGAGCCACACACGCGGCAAACCCGAAACCGUUUCUAGAGGUAGACCAGGGAAGACAACAUGUGUGCUGUUUAUCACAACAGGAAAACUAAACAACAAGGACAAGAAGGGAGAAGUGGCCACACGGCACAGAUAAAAAUGUGAGAAAUGCUAUAUUUCACAAUUUUAUCUGUUCUGCCACUCUGACUCAGUGAUCAAUGAGGAUCUGUCUUUUUUCCACCCAAAAAGAACAUGUUGCAUAAGCUCAGGCUUCCAGGGACCAGCGGAAAGCAGAAAACACCAUCUGAAGCUCUCCCCAGUCAGCUCAACGAGUGGCCCCCGUUCCCCAGACGGCGUCCGCGAAGCCGUAGAGAUGAGCUGAUGUCUGCUCACCCCGGGAGGGAGGCGGGGGCGCAGGUACUGACGGUGCCAGUUCAGGGGUUCAAGAGAAAAUGCCGGCAGGCGGCUUCAGCAAAGACUUAGAAUUUGUCGGCAUCAGUGCUCUUUCCCGGAGAAAAGCCUUCUUGGAAAUUCUGCGUUUUCUUAAGGAACACGAAGAACAUUUCCAAGGGCGUGUUAGGCCUCAGCCUUUCAGAACAACCCUGUUUGCUAAGCUUUGUGCCUCGCCCAUCUCUGCCAGUCAGCACCUGAAGGUGUCCCCAGGGCAGGGGAGGGAGGGAAUUUGAGAUCAGAGGGCCACCGUGGUGUUUGGGGACACUGGAAAUGACGGGUGGCCCUCCAUGCCCUGGACACCUGGGUCUGGGCUGUUGUCUCCUUCACAUGUGGUCCCUCCUGCUUUGCUUCAUCAGUGGCAGGACAGGGUUACCUCUGCAGCGAGCCCCACUGGGCCACGUCCACGGCAACCUUAAUAGAGAGGGGCAGCGCCAGUCUGACGGACAACCCACGUGUUCGGCAUCCAGGGACGCCACGAUGAAGUGCCCACCUCACACAGCGCUCCCUUCCCCCCGUGUCCUGAAACCCCCUCCUCUGGGGAGCCCCAGACAAUGCAUUGCUUCCUCCACGGUUCUUCCCCGAACACGCAGCCUGUGACCCUGUUACAAUACUUAGCGCACAGCCAGUGGUCCCGUCAGGAGACAGAAACCACACAGCUGUUUUAGCAGAGACAAUUUAAUAAAGAAGAAUGUAGCAGGAUUGCCAUCUGGGUAUAAAGUUAUUGGCACCUUGUUUAUAAAGGUCCUGUGAGAACCCCAAGGCAUCACGGGGUAGAACUGUAGGCAGCAGCUACCUCCUAAAGAGAAGGGGUUGGAGGGAUGAUAACGUGGAAGCCGGGAAGGGAGACCCCACGGUGCUCAACGUCUGACCUCUGGGGAGGAGACACCGGCCAGCCAAUGGGGUGGGUGUCUCUGAGGGGGACAGUGUCACUGAUUCUGCAAGUAAUGGAAGUAUGCAGACUGCAUCAACUGCGGUGUGAGAAGGAACAGCCACUGCUACAGUGAAGAAGUGUCACUGGGGAUGCUCCCAGAAACAGGGAGCAGACAGGAAGGACCCGUCCCUCCACCUCCAGCCCUGCAGCCUCCUCCGGCGUCCACUCCCGGCGGAGCCCCCCGGGGAACAGCUGGCGUGGUUUGCAGCAUCCCAGCCCCGGCUUCACAGGGCGGGCCGUGGAACUGAGGUUUGGAACCGGGAGCCCACAGCUUUAUCACUGGCACGGUCCUCUCCUUCGCUUCUCAGCUUCCAGACACACCUUUUACUCCUAUCUGAACUCCCCUGCAGAAACAGCAAGGACUUUGUGUGUCUGUCCAACAAGCUUCCCACAGCUAAUACCCUUCAUGCAGAUGAAGGCGUUCUCACCCUCUCCCCGACGUGAGGAGCUGCGGGGCCCACGCAUCUCGUGUCCAUCUUUGGGAGGUGUCACACUGCAGCUCUGGGCUCCAUCACAUACUUCCCAAAUCCAGUCACAGGCUGCACUGGUUCCCUACGGCUGCUGUUACAAAUUGCUGCAAAUUUAGUGGCUUCAGACGACACAGAUUUAUAUCUUGCAGCUCUGGAGCAGCUCAGAAGUCUGACCGGGGUCUGGCUGGGCUUAAAUUGCCAGGGCUGUGUUCCUUCUGGAGGCUCUUGGGGAAAAUGUAUUUCCAGCCUUUUCCAGCUUCUGGAGGCUGCCCCAUUUCUCGCCUCCUGGGCUCUUCCUCCAUCUUUAAAGGCAGAAAUACUCCAUCUUUCUCUCCACUCUUCUUUUCUGAAUCCCUAAGGUCUUCCCGGAGUCUGACACAGCAGGACGCUCAGUAAAUACAAGGCAGCGGAUUCUUAUAAGUGUGGCUCCGUGUGAGUCCUUCUUUUCCAGGAGAUUAUAAGCACCAGAGAACCAGGCUGUGUCUACAUCACCAAGAGGGCUGCCUCCAUCAAAUCCAGGCACGAUUGGACCUACGUGCCUGAAACAAGCAUAUCGAAGAUUAAUACGUGUUUUUCAAUUGGCUUAAAUUUUUUCGGUAAAGCAGUCAGCAUGUUAACCUCCCUUCUGUUAAAGAAAUGAU